GACUAAUCUAACAUGUGAGCGAGUAUGCGGGUGGAAGCCCUGCAUGCAUACUGAGAAGUUUAGGACACGGAAGAUGGGGAACUAUGCCUGAGGAGCGUGAAGUCAGGAGAAAGCUGAUGGGAGUUCGUAGGGAUACUGAAGUGCAAAUCGGUUGUCAAACUUGAGUGUAGGGGCGAAAGACUAAUCGAACCGCCUAGCAGCUGGUUUCUCCCGCAGUUUCUCUCAGGAUAGCUGGAGUUCAAUUAGUUUUACCAGGUAAACCGAAUGAUUAGAGGCUUCUGGGGAGCGUUGUCGCCUACCUACUCUCAGACUCUAAACCGGUAUGGUCCAGUGCUUACUUUACUGAACUACUGAGGUUCAUAUGAACUCCAAGUGGGCCAUUCUUGGUAAGCAGAACUGGCUAUGAAGAAAAAUGGCACCACAACGGCUAGGAGUGAGCUUAACCGGCUGUUAGCCAAACGACAAGCUUAACAGUAGGCUGCCUGCCUUGCUGCUGUAGGUAAAAGCGGUGUUAUUCUGAAGCUUUGCUGUCACUAGCAGAAGGCCAGCGGGCACAUGUC
rnacentral:ncRNA from 1 species